GACAGUGAACAGAGUUGGGUAGACUGCGGCAGUGCUCACCUGCCACCUCUGCAAAGUCAGCCCCGACUGCCCUGUGGGCCACUGCCAGCACGGGCGGGGCCUCAAGGCACCGGCUCCCAGGAUGGAGAGCAGCGCCAGGCUUGGACAUGGAGGAUCAGAAGGCAAGGAGGCCUGGGUUCUCAUCCCACAGUCUAGAUGGUGACAUCCACAAAGCCUCUCUGAACCUCAGUGUUGCCUGGCAACUGAAAUGAAAGCUGCCACUUAGUGACCAUCAACAGCAUUCCAGGCCUUGGUGUGUGGGUACCACGGAGCCCUGGGAGGUUGGCACCAUCACUACCUCCACUGCAGACGGGCUGUGUGACUGUACCAAGUGGUCGCCUCUCUGUGGCCCUCAGUGUCCCAUCUGUGAACAAAGAACAACAAUGUCUACUGGGUGACUGAGUGACAAGUGGUCUGCACUGGACACAUCUGGCAUGCAGAGGUACCCGUGAGACGGAACCAGGCACAGAGGUCGACCCAUCCCAGGAAGUCAACAGGAAACCACCAGCACCUACCUGAGAAGGCUGCGGGCCGAAGCACCAUCCGCC